AGUAAGAAAGGAUAAAGAUGGAGAGACACAGGGAUGCAAGAUAGUUGUGUCUCUGAGGGCGACCUGUCAACAUUUGGAAGAUGAAUUUCCGGCUCGUCAUAGUCGCCAUUGUGCUGGCAGCGAUGAUGACGAAUUUGGUCCUGUCGACGCCGCUCUUCGGCUUCCGCACCAGAGAUGAUAAUUACUGGGCAAGGAGACGAUCUCCGUGGCGACCCCAUCAAGACGACCGCUACUGGAACGGCUACGACAUCUACGGCUACACCAGGAAUGGAUAAGGCUGUGACAGUGCAGAGCAAAGCCACGACAACUUGAUUUAAGAUCAGGCGAACCGACAUCUAUAUACCAGUGUAGAUGAUUUGCUGGAAAUAACUCACAUAUUAAUUACAAAAGACAAUGUGAUCACCAAAGGACCAGGAUUAUAACUAUAUACUAAUUUGGUAUAUUUAAUGUCUAAAGUCAUGAUACUAGACUCAAUAAACAUUAUAUUGAAAUGUCUAUCAACCAUAAGUACAAAAUCUACUUGUGUUAUUUAUUUAUUUAUUUUUUUUUUUAUAAUUUGAUACUCAUUCCUCACUAUUAUUAUAUAUGUGAGAUGUGUUAAGAUUUUGAUGUUUCGUUAUUUCGUGUGUUUAGGAGUAAUAAAGUG